rnacentral:tRNA from 1 species
UCGGGAUAGCUCAGCUGGUAGAGCAGAGGACUGAUA